rnacentral:rRNA from 1 species
GAGUUUGAUUCUGGCUCAGGAUGAACGCUGGCGGCGUGCCUAACACAUGCAAGUCGAGCGGCAGCGAGUUUCUCACUGUUUGUUCCUCUUCUUUCGAGAGCAGGAUGCGGAGAUUUCCGAAAGAAAUUGGUCGUAUCCAAUACGAAGGAGGAAAUCUGGUAGAUGAUUUUUGUUAAGAUGAGAGGAAAAAACUGUGAGGAAUGUCGGCGAGCGGCGGACGGCUGAGUAACGCGUGGGAACAUACCCCAAAGUGAGGGAUAACUGCCCGAAAGGGUGGCUAAUACCGCAUAUGAUCUUCGGAUUAAAGCAUUUAUGCGCUUUGGGAAUGGCCUGCGUCGGAUUAGGUAGUUGGUGAGGUAAAGGCUCACCAAGCCGACGAUCCGUAACUGGUUUGAGAGGAUGACCAGUCAGAUUGGAACUGAGACACGGUCCAGACUCCUACGGGAGGCAGCAGUGAGGAAUCUUCCACAAUGGGCGAAAGCCUGAUGGAGCAACGCCGCGUGCAGGAUGAAAGCCUUCGGGUUGUAAACUGCUUUUAUGAUUGAGGAAU